GACGAACGCUGGCGGCGUGCUUAACACAUGCAAGUCGAACGGAAAGGCCCUGCUUUUGUGGGGUGCUCGAGUGGCGAACGGGUGAGUAACACGUGAGUAACCUGCCCUUGACUUUGGGAUAACUUCAGGAAACUGGGGCUAAUACCGGAUAGGAGCUCCUGCUGCAUGGUGGGGGUUGGAAAGUUUCGGCGGUUGGGGAUGGACUCGCGGCUUAUCAGCUUGUUGGUGGGGUAGUGGCUUACCAAGGCUUUGACGGGUAGCCGGCCUGAGAGGGUGACCGGCCACAUUGGGACUGAGAUACGGCCCAGACUCCUACGUGAGGCAGCAGUGGGGAAUAUUGCACAAUGGGCGGAAGCCUGAUGCAGCAACGCCGCGUUCGUGAUGACGGCCUUCGUGUUGUAAACCGCUUUCGCCUGUUACGAAGCGUGAGUGACGGUAAUGGGUAAAGAAGCACCGGCUAACUACGUG
rnacentral:rRNA from 1 species